GAUGAACGCUGGCGGCGUGCCUAAUACAUGCAAGUCGAGCGAACAGACGAGGAGCUUGCUCCUCUGACGUUAGCGGCGGACGGGUGAGUAACACGUGGAUAACCUACCUAUAAGACUGGGAUAACUUCGGGAAACCGGAGCUAAUACCGGAUAACAUGUUGAACCGCAUGGUUCAACAGUGAAAGACGGUUUUGCUGUCACUUAUAGAUGGAUCCGCGUCGCAUUAGCUAGUUGGUAAGGUAACGGCUUACCAAGGCAACGAUGCGUAGCCGACCUGAGAGGGUGAUCGGCCACACUGGAACUGAGACACGGUCCAGACUCCUACGGGAGGCAGCAGUAGGGAAUCUUCCGCAAUGGGCGAAAGCCUGACGGAGCAACGCCGCGUGAGUGAAGAAGGUCUUCGGAUCGUAAAACUCUGUUAUUAGGGAAGAACAAAUGUGUAAGUAACUAUGCACGUCUUGACGGUACCUAAUCAGAAAGCCACGGCUAACUACAUG
rnacentral:rRNA from 1 species